rnacentral:lncRNA from 1 species
UUUAAGGGGGUUCGCGGGUCUAAAUCAUUUAUAUAGGAUUUCUCUAUAUUUUUCUAUAAAUGAACUUUAUCUUAUAGAAAAAUAAAAAAAAAAAGUGGGGUCACCGUUCAUUUGCGCUCACAAUCUGCCUUCGAAAGAAGCAUACAUUUUUGUAAAGGUGUUUUUUUUUCUGUUGAAGUAAUAGGAGAAAUAAAGGUAAUAUCGAAAUAAAAAAAAAAGAAAUUUAUUACAGAAAUCGCUAAAAUUUUACAAUAAUUUAGUUUAAGUACAGCUUAUAUGGAAAUUAUAUUAAAAAAGAUAGGUCACCGAUGAGUUGAAAAAG